rnacentral:rRNA from 8 species
AAAUUGAAGAGUUUGAUCAUGGCUCAGAUUGAACGCUGGCGGCAGGCCUAACACAUGCAAGUCGAACGGUAGCACAGAGAGCUUGCUCUCGGGUGACGAGUGGCGGACGGGUGAGUAAUGUCUGGGAAACUGCCUGAUGGAGGGGGAUAACUACUGGAAACGGUGGCUAAUACCGCAUAACGUCGCAAGACCAAAGAGGGGGACCUUCGGGCCUCUUGCCAUCAGAUGUGCCCAGAUGGGAUUAGCUUGUUGGUGAGGUAACGGCUCACCAAGGCGACGAUCCCUAGCUGGUCUGAGAGGAUGACCAGCCACACUGGAACUGAGACACGGUCCAGACUCCUACGGGAGGCAGCAGUGGGGAAUAUUGCACAAUGGGCGCAAGCCUGAUGCAGCCAUGCCGCGUGUAUGAAGAAGGCCUUCGGGUUGUAAAGUACUUUCAGCGGGGAGG